GACGAACGCUGGCGGCGUGCUUAACACAUGCAAGUCGAACGGAAAGGCCCUGCUUUUGUGGGGUGCUCGAGUGGCGAACGGGUGAGUAACACGUGAGUAACCUGCCCUUGACUUUGGGAUAACUUCAGGAAACUGGGGCUAAUACCGGAUAGGAGCUCCUGCUGCAUGGUGGGGGUUGGAAAGUUUCGGCGGUUGGGGAUGGACUCGCGGCUUAUCAGCUUGUUGGUGGGGUAGUGGCUUACCAAGGCUUUGACGGGUAGCCGGCCUGAGAGGGUGACCGGCCACAUUGGGACUGAGAUACGGCCCAGACUACUACGGGAGGCAGCAGUGGGGAAUAUUGCACAAUGGGCGGAAGCCUGAUGCAGCAACGCAGCGUGCGGGAUGACGGCCUUCGGGUUGUAAACCGCUUUCGCCUGUGACGAAGCGUGAGUGACGGUAAUGGGUAAAGAAGCACCGGCUAACUACGUG
rnacentral:rRNA from 1 species